rnacentral:rRNA from 1 species
GACAGAGGGUGCAAACGUUGUUCGGAAUUACUGGGCGUAAAGCGCGUGUAGGCGGCCCUGCAAGUCGGAUGUGAAAUCCCACGGCUCAACCGUGGAAGUGCAUUCGAAACUGCAGGGCUAGAGUCCUGGAGAGGAAGGUGGAAUGCUUGGUGUAGAGGUGAAAUUCGUAGAUAUCAAGCGGAACACCGGUGGCGAAGGCGGCCUUCUGGGACAGUGACUGACGCUGAGACGCGAAAGCGUGGGGGAGCAAACAGGGAUUAAGAA